rnacentral:rRNA from 1 species
UGGGGAAUUUUGCACAAUGGGGGAAACCCUGAUGCAGCGACGCCGCGUGAUUUAGAAGGCCUUCGGGUUGUAAAAAUCUUUUUUAUGGGAUGAAAAUGACAGUACCAUAAGAAUAAGGUCCGGCUAAAUACGUGCCAGCAGCCGCGGUAAUACGUAUGGACCGAGCGUUGUCCGGAAUAAUUGGGCGUAAAGGGUACGUAGGCGGCCCAGUAAGUUAGAAGUGAAAUAAUAUAGCUCAACUAUAUAAAGCUUUUAAAACUGCUAGGCUUGAGAGAUGGAAGGGAAAGUGGAAUUCCUAGUGUAGCGGUGAAAUGCGCAGAUAUUAGGAAGAAUACCGGUGGCGAAGGCGACUUUCUGGUCAUCAUCUGACGCUGAGGUACGAAAGCGUGGGUAGCAAACAGG